rnacentral:piRNA from 1 species
UCAGAGUAGAUCUUCUGGUAA